rnacentral:tRNA from 1 species
UGGGGGAUCGUCCAAUGGUAGGACUGCAGUCUCUGGAUCUGCCUAUCGGGGUUCGAAUCCCUGUCCCCCAGCCA